rfam:Oryza barthii chromosome 3, whole genome shotgun sequence.
ACUGCCUCAUGAAUAACCAGCUGCUUAGUAUAUUUGCAUUUGGUUCAGACUGGGGCACAUAGCAAAUAGAAUCUUUUUUGAGGGAAGGGGCCUGAUUUUCUGUUCAUCCCUUCUUAGAUAGAUUCUGAUAUGA